CCUACGGGAGGCAGCAGUGGGGAAUCUUGGACAAUGGGCGCAAGCCUGAUCCAGCCAUGCCGCGUGAGUGAUGAAGGCCUUAGGGUCGUAAAGCUCUUUCGCCAGAGAUGAUAAUGACAGUAUCUGGUAAAGAAACCCCGGCUAACUCCGUGCCAGCAGCCGCGGUAAUACGGAGGGGGUUAGCGUUGUUCGGAAUUACUGGGCGUAAAGCGCGCGUAGGCGGAUUGGAAAGUUGGGGGUGAAAUCCCGGGGCUCAACCCCGGAACUGCCUCCAAAACUAUCAGUCUAGAGUUCGAGAGAGGUGAGUGGAAUUCCGAGUGUAGAGGUGAAAUUCGUAGAUAUUCGGAGGAACACCAGUGGCGAAGGCGGCUCACUGGCUCGAUACUGACGCUGAGGUGCGAAAGUGUGGGGAGCAAACAGGAUUAGAUACCCUGGUAGUCCACACCGUAAACGAUGAAUGCCAGUCGUCGGCAAGCAUGCUUGUCGGUGACACACCUAACGGAUUAAGCAUUCCGCCUGGGGAGUACGGUCGCAAGAUUAAAACUCAAAGGAAUUGACGG
rnacentral:rRNA from 1 species